rnacentral:lncRNA from 1 species
UUUUUUUUUUUUUUUUUGAGAGUAAUCUUUUUCAACAAUGUGUAAGACAGAACAGAAUUUCCAUGCUUAUAUACCAUGAGGCACCCAAGGAUUCUUCUGGACAGAAAAAAAGUGUGUUGGCACACUCAGAUGUGGCUAUCUGAAGUGUCCAGCUAGAGCCCAUGUGCCACCACACUGCAAGAGGAGACAGAAGGAUGUGCUCAUGUUCACCACUUGCAAGAACUUAUUUCUUCCACCUGUCACAGACCAGUCUUCUAAGUUAUAUACCUAACCCUGGGCAGAGCAAAUAGCCCACAGAGCAUGCAGAAAUGCAAAUGCAAUUUUUGUGUUCAGCCAAGGCAUUUUUGAUAGCAGCAAGGAUGGCUGAAUUUUUAGGAAAACCCCUCAUGGAAUGUUUUGUGCCAUUUCUUUGCACCACAGUCAAGGACAUGGAAGAGUGAUUCAAGUCUGCAUACAUAGCUCCCUACAUUCACCUAUAGCACUGGUCACACUGAGUAUACUCACCAUGCUGGCAGAGACUGAGUUGACAGUAGCGUUGCAAUUCCCAAAAUCUUCACCUUGUGUUUGAACUGUGAGGCAGCCUUGUCUACACUUCUGCACUGCAUUUGUAAGCACCCCACAGCUAAGGCUAAUUCACAGCUCUCAAUACCCUCAUUCACUCCUGUCUUGACUUGAUAUUUUAAAAGAUUGAGAAAUGUAAAUAUUCAUGACCUUAAAACUGUAUCAGCUUUUCAGUCCAGUUGCUCUUUGUCUUUCUUCAGGCCGGUUUUUACUCUAUUAUUAUGCUGAAAAGCUAAGUUAGGGCUGCCACAGGUCACCUUCUUAUCAGUUAGUUUUAAUCUGGAUUUGUCAUUCAUCAUCCUCAGCUCAGAUCAAGCACCCAUUUCCCUGAGUAACAAUUACAGAACCACGGAAUGGGCAAGGAUGGAAGAGACCACAGUGGGUCAUCUGGACCAACCUACUUUUCAAGCAGGGUCAUCCUAGCGCAUGUGGCAUGGAAUUGUGUCCAGAUAGUUCUUGAGUAUCUCCAGUGUGGGAGAUUCCACAACUUCUCUGUCUCUGUGCUCAGUCACCUGCACAGUAAAGAUCUUCCUAUAUUCAGGUGGAGCUUCCUUGCAUCAGUUUGUGCCCACUGCCUCCUGUCCCAUUGCUCGGCACCACCGAGCAGAGCCCGGCUUCAUCCUCCUGGCACCUCCCUUCAGAUACUCACAGACAUCGAUGAGUUCCCCUCUCAGUGCCUCUGCUCGAGGCUGAACAGGCCCAGCUCCCUCAGCCUUUCCUCAUCAGAGAGAUGCUCCAGGGCCUCAAUCAUCUUUGUUACCCUCCACUGGAGCCACUCCAGGGGCUCCAUGUCUCUCUUGUCCUGAGGAGCCCAGGACUGGACUCAACACUCCAGAUGUGCCUCACCAGGGCAGGGCAGAGGGGCAGGAUCACCUCCCUUGAGCUGGUGACAUUCUUAUACUGACAUAUUGUCUCUAUAAAUCAACAAAAUAGUCUCUGUGGGAAAGCAAAUUCUCCUGGCAAACAGAAAUCACAGGGGUUAACUGAUGGAGUUCAUCGUGGGAAAUGCUUUCCCAUCUCCUUUGCAAAUUUGAACUUGGUAUGUUCAGCUUCACUUUCCUCACAAGCCCAUGUUCCCCUGCCUUUCUCUCAACACUUAUCCCAGACCAUCUUGCUGCACUCCCUUACCAGGAUGCCUCCCCUCCCCCUCCAAGAGAAUUCUCUUUCCCAAGUAUUUGUCAUAUGCAUGGCCCUAUCAGUCAGUGCUGCACCUCUCAUAAGUUUGUAUUUUUCAGCUUCCACAGCCAAAUGAUUAGGUGAGAAUCUUGGCUUAUGGUUUUAAGUAAGUUUCCUAGACCUCAUAGUAGCAAAGAGAAACUUAAAAACAUUUACUCCAGUGCAGUCAUUCUUAAGGCUAAGAAACCGUAAUAAACCACACCCUAAACUUGUUUUAUUUUUAAAAUCUGAGUUUUAAGUUUUUAAGCUCGGGCCUUUCUCAGGCUUUCUUGUGAUUUGUGAACAUCUGGGAUUGGCAGUGCUGUAAUCUGAGCAAGCAGGUUGGAAAACAUAUUCCUACAAUCCAGCUGAUCCCUAGGGUCCACUUCCCACUGGUCCCACCAGACUGCACCUCCUGAAAUGACCUUCUGAGAUGCACCAGGGGCUUCCCAGGGUCAGCUAAGGAAUCACUGCAUUGCCUGAGCUUCUGCUUCCCC